rfam:Clostridiales bacterium CHKCI001 isolate CHKC1 genome assembly, contig: {contig9}
UAAAAGUGUCGUCAAUGGCCAGACAGGCAGGGGAUUUAUACCCUGUACUAGCUGGACAUUCGACGACCUGACCUGUAUGAGCAAGUAAGACAUUCGCCUGGAUUGCGAAUACAGGCAGCGAUGUCGAAAGUGCACAGCACGAAGACAUCGACUUUUA